rnacentral:lncRNA from 1 species
GCUGCACCCACAGAAUAUGGAAGUUCCCAGGCCAGGGGUUGAAUCAGAGCUGCAGCAGCCAGCCUAUGCCACAGCAACAUGGGAUCUGAGCCACAUCUGUGACCUAUACCACAGCCCACAGCAACAGCGGAUCCUUAACCUACUGAGGGAGGCCAGGGAUCGAACCCACAUCCUCAUGGAUGCUGGUCAGGUUCACUACCACUGAGCCACAAUGGAAACUCCAGAAAGCUGCUUUGGUUUUAAUUGGCAGGAGGAGGCUUGUGAGACUCUUUAGCUUUCUCCUUGUGUUAUGUCUUCGUGACAGUGUGAAGUCAGUCUUAGAGCAGUUACAGCUCUUGCGACCUGUCAGAAACGCAGAGCCUUCAAUGCUGAUUAAAACCCACAACUGAAAAAAGAAUUACCAUAAUCCAGUGACAGGCAUGAAGAAAAAGCCAUAAUAAUACCGAUAACAAGGUGCCAGUUUAGAGGCUAUUAUAUUUAGGGACUUACUUCAGCAAGAAAAGUCUCCUCAGGUUUCUGCUAGAAGCAGGCUUGUCAGGGGAGGUGGCAGGGCUGCAGAGCUGGGGGAGGGGGGAGUGAGCCACGCAACCACCUGGACACAUAUGUUUGCUAGAAGUUCUGUGGGUGGUGGCAGCAAAUAGAAGUCACAGGUGUGUCCUCUGCUCUGAACCGGUGUUGUUAAGAGACCAGCAGGGUCUGGGACUCUAGGUUUAAUCUGACAAUCCAACAAGUCCAGGGACUUGCCUGAACCCCAAUGAACACUCCCCUGAAGCCUCUGUCCUCAGGGCUCUCAAGAACACCCUAAGUUGUCCCUUUUGCCACCAGAGCCAUCCUCUGUGCCCGGAUCAUCCUGGACAUUUCUUAGCUACCCACUCUACCCUGAUUUUGGCCUCUGCCUAAUAUCCUGCACUCCCAUCUCAUUUCCUUGGGGCCUUUCUAGGUGACUCCAGUUUCCGGAUGAGCUCUUUUGCACUAAAUUGUUAAUGCAGCUCCUGGUUUAAGGUGUUAGCCCUUCCAGCAUCUAUUUGCAUCCAGUCUAUUUGCAUCUUAACAGGGGCCUUUCAGCUCAAAGCCAAAGUGCUACUACUUCGGGUUUAGGGCACACACCAAAGGUGGGGUGGGGUGGCAUUUGGGAGCAGGCAUCUGUUUAGGGGACACUUUAAUCUCACCAGGUAAGUAGUACCUUCCUUGGGUAGGGGAGCAGUCCAGCCCCCCUCUGCCUGCAUCCUGGAUUCUGUAUCGCUGCAGAAUCAGAUAAAAUGCCACUCCUUCCAGCCACCCUUCCUUGAUCGAACUCUGCACACUGCACUGCUGGCUGACCCUCUCUCUCCAGACUUCACCGCACACAGGUUCCUCACAACAUACUUGAAUAUGUUUGAGAGAUGCACAGAAACCUGUCAUUUAAUCCAUGUGGGUAGUCAUGUGUCAUAUUGGCUGAAAGUCAAUAGUGACCCCACUGUUGGGUUGUCAAGCUCCCCUGAGAAAUGGAAGCUGCUCUAUUGGAAUAAAGAUUUCCAGUCUAGGGAGCAUCUCUAUUUAUCAAUGAUAGGUAUCAUGAAAUACGAAAUUUUGCUUGUACUGAGCAUGGAAAGGACCCUGUGGGUGGCUUGGUCACACACCCUCAAGCACACACACAUGCACAGAGAGAACAAUUCCUAGCGUUAAGUCGUUUUAUGUUUAAAAACAAAGGGCUCUGUGCUAAGUGGGAAUGGAUACAACAUUUGACAGAUGAGUAUAGAUAUAGAGAAUAAACCAGUGGUUACCUGUGGGGAGAAGGGAGAGGGGAGGGGUAGUGAGUAAGAGUUACCAACUAUUACGUAUAAAUAAGCUCCAAGGAUAUAUUAAACAACACGGGGAAUAUAGCCAGUAUUUUGUGCUAACAUUUAAGGAAAUAUAACCUUUAAGAAUUGUGAAUGACUAGGUUGUACCCUCGUAACUCAUGUAAUAGUGUACGUCAACUAUACUUCAAUAUAUUUUUUUAAGUACCAAAAGUCUUACAUAUGUGCACAUGAUAUGGCUCAGCUAUUCUAAAUCUAGGAAUUUAUCCUAAGAGAGGUGUUCGAUAAGAAUUAUACAGAAGGACAUAGGAUAACAUUAAUCAGAGCACCCUUGGAGUUCCCGUCGUGGCUCAGCAGAAACGAAUCUGACCAGCAUCCAUGAGGAUGCAGGUUCGAUCCCUGGCCUCAUUCAGUCACAGACACAGCUCAGAUCUGAUGUUGCUGUGGCUGUGGCAUAGGCUGGCAGCUGUAGCUCCGAUUUGACCCCAAGCCCGGGAACCUCCAUAUGCCACAGGUGUGGCCCUAAAAAGACAAAAAUAUAAAAAUAAAAAGAUAUACAUCAGAGCACUAUUAAUAGCAAGAUAUUAGCAAUAAUUCACAUAACAGUGGAGGAUUAAUACACGGCUAUAGUAUUUCUAAACUAGGAAACUAGAAAUUAGCCAUUAAAAGUCCUAUCUUAGGAGAAUAAUUAAUGGCAUGCUAAAAUGCUUGCAAUGUAUUUCCAGGUUAAAAAAAAAGUAGGUUAUAAGAGAUACUGAGUUUAAUCUAAGUUUUAUAAAAUAUAUGCAAGACAGAUGUGGAAAAAAGACUAAAAAGACAUACAUCAAAAUAUUAACAGUAGUUAUCUCAGAGUGCUUAUAGGAGUGACAUAAAAUUUCUUCUUUAUAUUUCAAAUGAUCAAUGAGAGUUAUUACUUUUACAAUCAGAAAAGGGUGAUUAAACAACAAGGAUUUGCUGCAUAGUACAGGGAACUAUAUUCAAUAUCUUGUAACAAACUAUACGGGAAAAGAACAAAAAACGAAUAUAGACAUACACAUACAUCUGUAUAACCACAUCACUUCGCUGGACACCUGAAACUAACAAUACUGUAAAUCAACUAUACUUCAAUUAAAAGAGAAAAGGGUAAUUAAAGAAGACAAAACUCAUUUGUUCAAAAAUUCAACAGAGAAAACCUACCGAGGUGUCACAUAACCUGCAGGAAGGCUUGGCGAACUAUGGUGAGAAACUUGCCAAGGUUCUUAAGACAGCGUAGUAGGAGAAGAACUAGGUUUUGAUUCCAGAAAAAGUGAGUUGGAAUCCUAGUUCUGCCACUUAACUUGUGGUAUGUUACUUAACCUAAGCUUUAUUUUUUCUUUUUAUGACUGCACCUGCAGCAUAUAGAAGUUCCUGGGCUGGGGUAGAUUCAGAGCUGCCGCUGCUGGCCUACACCACAGCCAUAGUAACACUGGAUCUGAGUCAUAUCUGCAACCUCCACCACAACUUGAGGCAAUGCCAGAUCCUUAGCCCCCUGAGUGAGGCCAGGGAUUGAACCCACAUCCUCACAGAGACAACAUUGGGUCCCUAACCCUCUGAACCACAAUGGGAACUCCUAAUCUAAGCUUUAACUUUUCACUUCUGUUUUGAUUACUAUUACUUUGUAGUCCAGUCUGCAGUCUGGAAGAGUUAUACUUUCAGCUUUGUUCUUUUUUUCCUUGGUAUCGCUUUGGUAAUUCUGGGUCUUUCUCAAUUCCACAUAAAUUUUAGGAUUUGUUUUAGUUCUGUGAAAAAUGUCAUAGGAAUUUGAUAGGUAUUACAUUAAAUAUGUAGACUGUUCUGGGUAGUAUUUUUAAUAAUAUUAAUUCUUCCAACUCAAGAGUACUGUAUACCUUUUGGUUUCUUUGAAUCAUCUUCAAUUUCCUUUAUCAAUGUUUUAUAGUUUUUAGCAUAUAGGUCAUUCACUUCCUUGGUCACCUUUUUUCCUAGGACACCAUAAAACUCCUAGAAAAGAACAUAAGCAACACAUUCUUUGACCUCAAUCACAGUAAUAUUUUUUUAGCUCAAUCUCCCAAGGCAAAAGAAAUAAAAGCAAAAAUAAACACAUGGGCCCUAAUCAAACUUAAAAGCUCUUGCAAAGCAGAGGAAACCAUCAACGAAAGGAAAAGACCACCUAUGGAACAGGAUAAAAUAUUUGCAGAUGAUGUGACCCACAAAGAGUUAAAAUCCAAAAUAAUACAAACAGCUCAUAAACUUGAUAUUAAAAAAAAACAAAUAACCCAGUCAAAAAAUGUGCAGAAGACCUGAAUAGACAUUUCUCUCAAGAAGACACACAGAUGGCUAAAAAGCACAUAAAAAAGAUGCUGAACAUCUCUAAUUAUUAGAGAAAUGCAAAUCAAAACCACAAUGAGGUAUUACUUCAUACAGCCUCAGAAUGGCUGUAUCAUCAAAAAUUCUACACAUAACAACUGCUGGAGAGGGUGUGGAGAAAAGGGAACCCUCCUACACUGUUGGUGGAAAUAUACAUUGGUGUAGUCACUGUGGAAAACAGUACGUAGUUGCCUUAAAAAACUGAAAAUAAAACUACCAUAUGAUCCAGCAAUUCCACUCCUGGGUAUAUCUGAAAGAAGCAAAAACUAUAGUUCAAAAAGAAACAUGCACCCCAAUGUUCACAGCAGCACUACUUA